rnacentral:snRNA from 1 species
AGCGUGGCCUAUCGAUCC